AUCGGUGGUUCUAAGGUAGAAUGCUUGCCUACCACGCGGGCGGCCCGGGUUCAAUUCCCGGCCGAUU